rnacentral:rRNA from 1 species
UACGGAGGGUGCAAGCGUUAAUCGGAAUUACUGGGCGUAAAGCGCACGUAGGUGGUUUGGUAAGUUGGAUGUGAAAGCCCUGGGCUCAACCUGGGAACUGCAUUCAAAACUGCCGGACUCGAGUACGAUAGAGGGGGGUAGAAUUUCAGGUGUAGCGGUGAAAUGCGUAGAUAUCUGAAGGAAUACCGGUGGCGAAGGCGGCCCCCUGGAUUGAUACUGACACUGAGGUGCGAAAGCGUGGGUAGCAAACAGG